rnacentral:rRNA from 1 species
GAUGAACGCUGGCGGCGUGCUUAACACAUGCAAGUCGAACGGAGAAUUGAAGCUUGCUUUAAUUCUUAGUGGCGGACGGGUGAGUAACGCGUGGGUAACCUGCCCUUAAGUGGGGGACAACAGUUGGAAACGACUGCUAAUACCGCAUAAAGUUGAGAGUCUGCAUGGACUUUCAACCAAAGGAGUAAUCCGCUUUUGGAUGGACCCGCGUCUGGUUAGCUAGUUGGUGAGGUAACGGCUGACCAAGGCGACGAUCAGUAGCCGGCCUGAGAGGGUGAUCGGCCACACUGGGACUGAGACACGGCCCAGACUCCUACGGGAGGCAGCAGUGGGGAAUCUUCCGCGAUGGACGAAAGUCUGACGGAGCAACGCCGCGUGAGGGAUGAAGGCCUUCGGGUUGUAAACCUCUGUCUUCAGGGAAGAAAAAAAUGACGGUACCUGAGGAGGAAGCCCCGGCUAACUACAUGCCAGCAGCCGCAGUAAUAC